rnacentral:rRNA from 1 species
UACAGAGGGUGCGAGCGUUGUCCGGAAUCACUGGGCGUAAAGGGCGCGUAGGCGGUCUCUUAAGCGUGUGGUGAAAGCCCGGGGCUCAACCCCGGGGUGUCAGCGGAGACUGGUGGGCUGGAGUGCCGGAGAGGGAUGCGGAAUACCUGGUGUAGCGGUGGAAUGCGUAGAGAUCAGGUGGAACACCGAUGGCGAAGGCGGGUCUCUGGGCCGAUACUGACGCUGAGGAGCGAAAGCGUGGGGAGCGAACAGG